rnacentral:misc_RNA from 1 species
GAUGAAGAACGCAGCGAAAUGCGAUAAGUAAUGUGAAUUGUAGAAUUCAGUGAAUCAUCGAGUCUUUGAACGCACAUUGCGCCCCCUGGUAUUCCGGGGGGCAUGCCUGUCCGAGCGUCAUUGCUGCCCUCAAGCACGGCUUGUGUGUUGGGCCUCCGUCCUCCUCCCGGGGGACGGGCCCGAAAGGCAGCGGCGGCACCGCGUCCGGUCCUCGAGCGUAUGGGGCUUCGUCACCCGCUCUUGUAGGCCCGGCCGGCGCUUGCCGACACAUCAAUCUUUUUUCCAGGUUGACCUCGGAUCAGGUAGGGAUACCCGCUGAACUUAAGCAUAUCAAUAAGCGGAGGA